rnacentral:lncRNA from 10 species
UUUGUCACCACGACCACAACUCGUUGUCCAGAAACUGAAGGAUGGUGCCCAAUUGGUAAUUCCAAGCGCCUCAGCUUUGUUAUGACAGUGCUUUCAUGAUUAGCUCGGUGCCAAGUCCUCACAUACUGAAGGGACGAAAUAAAUGUUUAGUAAAAUUAACUGCUACCCAACUUCCCCCUGGCUAAGGUCUAGUCGCGAAAGUGGUUCUUCAGUUCCACGAACACAGCCAGGUCUCCCCUCCCUCAGCCUCUGGAUGUGAUGCCCAAGAGCCCUUGCCCUGCUCUCCAUGAAGGCCUUCCCACACUGGUCCAGCCCAUUUCUUUCCCUCGCUGGUCGGGUCACUUUC